AUUGAACGCUGGCGGCAGGCCUAACACAUGCAAGUCGAACGAGUGGCGGACGGGUGAGUAAUGUCUGGGAAACUGCCCGAUGGAGGGGGAUAACUACUGGAAACGGUAGCUAAUACCGCAUACCAUCGGAUGUGCCCAGAUGGGAUUAGCUAGUAGGUGGGGUAACGGCUCACCUAGGCGACGAUCCCUAGCUGGUCUGCGAGGAUGACCAGCCACACUGGAACGGCGACACGGUCCAGACUCCUACGGGAGGCAGCAGUGGGGAAUAUUGCGCAAUGGGCGAAAGCCGGACGCAGCCAUGCCGCGUGAAUGAAGAAGGCCUUCGGGUGGUAAAGUUCUUUCAUCAGGGAGGCGUUACUCGAAGAAAAAGCACCGGCUAACUCCGUGCCAGCAGCCGCGGUAAUUC
rnacentral:rRNA from 1 species